ensembl:lncRNA
GAAGUGAUGGGUGGAAAGCAGUUUCCUCAGAAGGGAGUACGGAUACUGAAGGAGGUGGAGACAAUCUUUGUCAUCUUAGAAUAUAUGCGGUAAAUCAUCUUCCAGUGGAAGCUAACAGAAAAUCGUGGAGAUAAAUUCUCUUUGUGGUGGGAGAGAAUAAAACAGAUUCACCAAAAGAGGGACAAAUGGGAGAGGAACAAAGGACCUUGUUUCUCCAUCUUGGUUGAAAAUGAAAGCCCUGAAGUUUAUUUUUAAUGAAUGAUUUAUAAUAACAGAAAAGGUUACUAAUACCGUACAUCUCUU